ACGGGUGAGUAACGCGUGGGUAACCUGCCCUGUACAGGGGGAGUAACAGUCAGAAAUGACUGCUAAUACCGCAUAAGACCACAGCACCGCAUGGUGCAGGGGUAAAAACUCCGGUGGUACAGGAUGGACCCGCGUCUGAUUAGCUGGUUGGUGAGGUAACGGCUCACCAAGGCGACGAUCAGUAGCCGGCUUGAGAGAGUGAACGGCCACCAUUGGGACUGAGACACGGCCCAAACUCCUACGGGAGGCAGCAUG
rnacentral:rRNA from 1 species